rnacentral:tRNA from 1 species
GGGGCUAUAGCUUAGCUGGUAAAGCGUUUCGUUCGCAACGAAGAGACCACCGGUUCGAUUCCGGUUAGCUCCA